UUAGGAAUGCCAGAGUGAUAUGGGCUUGCUUUAGGAGCAAGAUACGGUGAAAAUCUUCCUAAA
rnacentral:tRNA from 1 species